rnacentral:lncRNA from 1 species
UUCAGAGAAGAUGUCUGUAUAAAAGGAUAUUUUCUGCUCCUCAUGUUUACUUUAUGCAGAGGGCACUAUAGGAUUCAUUUGUCCAGAAAAAGAGAGUGAAAACAGAUGUGGCCUCUCCUAAUGGUUUGGGCAGUCAUCCUGAAUAGUUAAUGUUAAGUACUAUUCAGCAGCUAGGGAACAAACACAGAUUUUCUGGGUGGCAAGCAGCUCGGCCCAGCUUGCAGUGCAGCUGCUCAUCAUGGCAGCACCUCUGACCAGCCCAACCCCAGGCGCAUACCAUCAGUUUGCAAUCGGCACUCUCU